rnacentral:misc_RNA from 1 species
AAAAAUGAUUCAGUUGUUGUUUAUGGUUCUUUGUUUGGAGGGUAUGGUGGCAUUUCUUCUAAUGGUGAAGAUUGGGCCACUGAGGGAACUGGUGAUGAAGUGUUUGGAUCAGGUGAAAAUGAGAAAGGGUACUGUUUUAACUAUUGCUGGUACAAUAUCAGCUAUCUUAUUUUCCAACUUCAUUAGUAUUAUCAAGAUUCAGAAUAAGGGGGCUAAGAUUGGUACAAUGACACCAAUGGAUCAGGUUUUGUGGAGAACCAACUUGUUAGAGGCUACUCUCAUGGGAUUUUCUCUGUUUCUCGGAUUCUUAAUUGAUCGUAUGCACCAUUACCUUCGGAAGCUAAUUGUGUUGCGUAGUAGUGCGGGAUCUUCAAAGAAAGAAUUUGAAAGACUUGAGAAAGAAAAGCUGCAGCUUAAGGAGAA